rnacentral:rRNA from 1 species
CGAAGCCGGAAUCGCUAGUAAUCGCAGAUCAGAAUGCUGCGGUGAAUACGUUCCCGGGUCUUGUACACACCGCCCGUCACACCAUGGGAGUCGGAAAUGCCCGAAGUCAGUGGCCCAACCGCAAGGAGGGAGCUGCCGAAGGCAGGUCCGGUGACUGGGGUGAAGUCGUAACAAGGUAGC